rnacentral:lncRNA from 1 species
CAGCAGGUGGUGGUUCGCGUGGGCACUGAGCCCGCGAUUUCCCGCUAAUUUUUUUUAAAGGUAGGGUCAGGCGUGCCGAGUUCCUUUCCUGAGGAGGAAACCUAGAGGUGGGCGACAUUUUGAUACUGCCGCUCCCUCACGCAGGGCAGCCUCCAACGCCUCUGUAGUCGUCUAAGCACCUAAGCUAGUUCGUCCCGGCGAGGUGAUGCAAUUUAACAGUGCUGGUAGAGGUAACGGGCUUCUUUUCAGGCUGUCCUGGUGAUGAUGGUAGUUUGAGUUUCUCGAUUAUGUACGGCACCAGCACGGCCAUUGGUGGUAGGGGAAUGGUGGGGACUUAGGGGAUGUU